GACGAACGCUGGCGGCGUGCUUAACACAUGCAAGUCGAACGGAUAGGCCCUGCUUUUGUGGGGUGCUCGAGUGGCGAACGGGUGAGUAACACGUGAGUAACCUGCCCUUGACUUUGGUAUAACUUCAGGAAACUGGGGCUAAUACCGGAUAGGAGCUCCUGCUGCAUGGUGGGGGUUGGAAAGUUUCGGCGGUUGGGGAUGGACUCGCGGCUUAUCAGCUUGUUGGUGGGGUAGUGGCUUACCAAGGCUUUGACGGGUAGCCGGCCUGAGAGGGUGACCGGCCACAUUGGGACUGAGAUACGGCCCAGACUCCUACGGGAGGCAGCAGUGGGGAAUAUUGCACAAUGGGCGGAAGCCUGAUGCAGCAACGCCGCGUGCGGGACGACGGCCUUCGGGUUGUAAACCGCUUUCGCCUGUGACGAAGCGUGAGUGACGGUAAUGGGUAAAGAAGCACCGGCUAACUACGUG
rnacentral:rRNA from 1 species